rnacentral:lncRNA from 1 species
UACAUCGGUCGAGACUUAUAUUUUCGAUUCGUCAACACUAAAACUCUCAUUCAAUAUUGUCAAAACUAAUCUAUGUGAAAUUUUGGACAAGUUUAUCAAGCGAUUAUAUAGCUCCCCAUAGGAAAGCUUACAGAAAUUUAAUCGUAAAUAAAGUUAUUGACCUAUUUGUGAAGCAAUUAUAUCUUGUAAAUAGAAUUUAACAAAUCCGUCCGCAGGAUGCGUUACGUAUAGUGAAAUAUGGUUAUGGUAAAAAAUUCACAUAUUUUUGAUAACGUUUGUGUCCCGAUCGAGGCGGUCAACCCUUUUUACGCUUAUUAUCCCCUAUGUGAGAGUGUGUACGUGAAAGAAUCCACUAAAACUACUCAAGAAGGAGGGGGUAAGCGCGUAUUCGCUUAAUUAGAUAAAGUUGAGUUAAUGUUGACCACAUCGAUCGAGACCCAAACUUUAUCAAAAUUAGGUGAAUUUUUGACCAUAUCUGUAUUUAAAUAUGCUGAUCACAUCGGACGAUCGAAAUUUAAUAUUUUGAAUUUUAAACCUUGGAACCACAACAUGCCUACUAAUGUAGUAUAACUUGUUUAGUGGCCUUUUUGCAAGUGUAUGAAUUUGUGAAGCAACUAUAUGUUGUAAAUAUAAUUUUGCAAAUCCAUCCAUAGGAUGCAUUACGUAUAGUGAAAUAUGGUUACAGUAAAAAAUCACAUAUUUUCGAUAACGUUUGUGUCCCGAUCGAGGCGGUCAACCCUUUUUACGCUUUAUUAUCCCCUAUGGGUAGCCCUAUCCCGGAAGAUAAAAUUUCUGAAAAUUUUACAGGAGCUACUACAUCACAUAUAUGUGAGAGUGUGUGCGUGAAAGAAUCCACCAAAACUACUCAAGAAGGAGGGGGUAAGAACGUAUUCGCUUAAUUAGAUGAAGUUGAGUUAAUGUUGACCACUUCGAUCGAGACCCAAAAUUUAUCAAAAUUAGGUGAAUUUUUUAGCAUAUAUGUAUUUAAAUACGCUGAUCACAUCUGACAGUCAAAAUUUAAUAUUUUGAAUUUUAAACCUUGGAACCACAACAUGCCUACUAAUGUGGUAUAACUUGUUUAGUGGCAUUUUUGCAAGUGUGUGCAUUUGUGAAGCAACUAUAUCUUGUAAAUAGAAUUUUGCAAAUCCGUCCGCAGGAUGUGUUAUGUAUAGUGAAAAAUGGUUAUGGUAAAAAAUCACAUAUUUUUUUAUAACAUUUGUGUCCCGAUCGAGGCGGUCAACCCUUUUACGCUUAUCCUCUUCUAUGGGUAACUCUAUCCUCGAAAGGUAAAAUUUAUGAAAAUUCUACACAAGCUGCUAUAUAACAUGUAUGUUAGUGUGUGUGCAUGAAAGAAUCGACCAAAACUAGUAAAUAAGUAGGGGGUAAUAGCGUUUUUGCUUAAUUAGAUGAGGUUGAGUUAAUGUUGACUGCAUGGAUCGAGACCCAAACUUUAUCGAAAUUAGGUGAAUUUUUAACUAUAUCUGUAUUUAAAUACGCUGAUCAUAUCAGAUGGUCGAAAUUUAAUAUUUUAAAUUUUAGACAUUAGAACCACAAUAUGACUAUGGUUUAGGGUUUAGAGUUUAGGGCAGCCCCCUUCCAUUGAGGGAUCCCUAUUUUUGGCCACUUUCUAGGGAUAGGGCAUUACACCACUUCCCAAUUGAAUUUUUACAUCUCCACCGUUCAUAUCUUAGGUCUAUAUGAGUAGAUCAUCUCUACAAAAUUUCAUAUGAUUUGGUGAUCGUUAAGGCUUUCAAAAGUUUGAUUUAGUUUUAAUGAUUUUGAACGGUCCAGCUUAUGUCAAACUAAAACCGUUGAAGGUCAUUAAAACUAAAUUGAACUUUUGAAAGCCUUAACGAUCACCAAAUCAUAUGAAAUUUUGUAGACGUGAUCUACUCAUAUAGACCUAAGAUAUGAACGGUGGAGAUGUAAAAUUAUAAUCGGGAAGUUGAUGUAAUGCCCUAUCCCUAUAAAUGGCUUAAAAUAGGGAUCCCUAAUUGGAAGGGCUUGAAGUUUAGGGUAUUCUUUCUACUCAAAUUUUGGAGCAAUUUGAAAUGAAAUUUUUGAAAUUUCCAUCAAAAUUUUAGCGGUGCCUUAUCCUCUUUACUUACUCUCCAACCCGGCCUAUUCUUCCCCAAACACAAUUUCUCCCAUUCUUCCCCGAUCUACUUCUGCUCCUCUCCUCCACCCUCACCUCCUCGAGCCCUCGAGCACUGAUCUCCUCCCACCAAGCCCCUAAGUCGACAACAUCACCCUCAUCUCAGCCUUCCUCGGCCCCUCAGUCUUCUUCGAAGAAUCCAUCCUCUUUCGAAGGCUCCAUCCUCCUUCGAUUCCCAGAUUAAGAAUCAGGUUUGUGUUCUUCGAUCUUCUUCCGUUGUUCUUUUCAAUUUGUUAAUCACAGCUUUCUACUUUCCUUUUACUGAGCUUAUAUACUCUUCUUUUCUAUGGUUUUCUGCAAAUAUGUCUUGAGGAGAGAGGGAAGAAGGAUCUGGGCCAUAUCUGGGCCAUUGGUCCUAAAGUAUAAGGCUACAGAUCUCUCUCUUUCAACCCUAAUUUCUCAUUUUUUUUUCGAGAGAGGGAGAGACUAAGAGAGAAAGAGCGACGCUGCCGCCGCCCUUCCAAUCGCUCCUCUGCCGCCUUCAGGCCGUUGCCUGCCAAACAGAGACCACCAUUCGAUUCGCCCCUUUCUCCUCUUUCUAUCCCUGCCACCAAAUCACACAUUCACUGACCUUCUUUUCUGAUUAGAAAUCGAACCUUAGCCUGACUCCUCAAAUAGGAUUUCGCCCCUUUCACAGUUGCAGCCUUGAUGCCAAAAUCAAGAACAAUCUGGGUGAGUUCAGAUUUGGUGUAUGUUUCUGAGUUCAAUUUGCUAUUUAUCUUGAGUUAUUGACCCUUCAAUCUAUCUAGUCCCUUCAUUUUAGUUUCUAGAAAUAAGGAAUACAAAAUAUCAUAGAUUCAGAAAAAAGAGAAAGGAAUUCUUGACAAUAAUUCUUAUCUAGAACUUGUUAUAGUUUAGUUAAGAUUAGACAGAACAUGCAUUGAAACCUCACCAACAACAAUGUGAGUGGUAGGAGCCACCCUUGUUCGAUCUAGCUAGCUUCUUCAAUUAUCAGAAGCCAAAGCAAUUAUAUCAUAUGCAUAUUAUUACAAAACAUGCACUAAAGCUUCUUCGUAUGCAUAUUAUCCCAUUUAUUGAUCU